GACGAACGCUGGCGGCGUGCCUAAUACAUGCAAGUAGAACGCUGAAGCGAGGAGCUUGCUCUUCUUGGAUGAGUUGCGAACGGGUGAGUAACGCGUAGGUAACCUGCCUUGUAGCGGGGGAUAACUAUUGGAAACGAUAGCUAAUACCGCAUAACAAUGGAUGACACAUGUCAUUUAUUUGAAAGGGGCAAUUGCUCCACUACAAGAUGGACCUGCGUUGUAUUAGCUAGUAGGUGAGGUAACGGCUCACCUAGGCGACGAUACAUAGCCGACCUGAGAGGGUGGUCGGCCACCCUGGGACUGAGACCCGGCCCAGACUCCUACGGGAGGCAGCAGUAGGGAAUCUUCGGCAAUGGGGGCAACCCUGACCGAGCAACGCCGCGUGAGUGAAGAAGGUUUUCGGAUCGUAAAGCUCUGUUGUAAGUCAAGAACGAGUGUGAGAGUGGAAAGUUCACACUGUGACGGUAGCUUACCAGAAAGGGACGGCUAACUACGUG
rnacentral:rRNA from 1 species